CACAGUCAUACAUGUUAUCGUCAUCUCAUGUAAGUUCACGGACUACUGUGCGUCACAGUCAUACAUGUUAUCGUCGUCAUAUAUCAUUUCAUGGGUGUGAGGUGAAAGCAAGAGCGGCCGAUCCUAUUUGGUGUAAAGAGUAUCAUUGUCAUCUUCAUUGUGUAUUUGUGAUAUCGGGACUUAAAAAGAAUAAAUGUUGUUUUAAUUUUCCACAAGUCUGAAGGCUGCUUUUUUAAAGAUACUUCUUGAUAAGUUCUUGUACACGUUAUGUAUCAUUGGCUCUGACUUUGAAAAGGUUGAUUUUCUACAGAAAUGUUCUUAAAAAAGUAUGAAAUGAAGAUAGGUCCCUGAAUGCCAUACACAUAUGUCCAUGAGUGCUUCAAGUUGUCUUGAACCGAUGCUUCUUGUGCCAUUUCGACUUUUGGACACUCUGCUAUAGUAGGUCUCCCUUUCAGCACUAUAAACUGCCAGAUGGACACCAUGGUCUUGGUUUGUGAGGCGGAUUUCUGGAAUAUUUCUCUUCUUCAAAUUUUCUUGCCCUCCGCAAUAUGAAAAUAUAAUGAAAACCUUUAGCUAUUGCUGUAGCAUUUAGGUCACUUUUGGUGGCUGUCAAUAUGAAAUUCUUACAGGUAUUGGGGAGAAUGAAAUUAACUUGUGCUUCUGUUUGACAGCCGUACGGUAUGAGAAUUAUGAUACUGAAUAAAUGCUUUACUUUUUUAAUCA